AGUGAACGCUGGCGGUAGGCCUAACACAUGCAAGUCGAACGGCAGCACAGGAGAGCUUGCUCUCUGGGUGGCGAGUGGCGGACGGGUGAGGAAUACAUCGGAAUCUACUUUUUCGUGGGGGAUAACGUAGGGAAACUUACGCUAAUACCGCAUACGACCUACGGGUGAAAGCAGGGGAUCUUCGGACCUUGCGCGAUUGAAUGAGCCGGUGUCGGAUUAGCUGGUUGGCGGGGUAAAGGCCCACCAAGGCGACGAUCCGUAGCUGGUCUGAGAGGAUGAUCAGCCACACUGGAACUGAGACACGGUCCAGACUCCUACGGGAGGCAGCAGUGGGGAAUAUUGGACAAUGGGCGCAAGCCUGAUCCAGCCAUACCGCGUGGGUGAAGAAGGCCUUCGGGUUGUAAAGCCCUUUUGUUGGGAAAGAAAUCCAGCUGGUUAAUACCCGGUUGGGAUGACGGUACCCAAAGAAUAAGCACCGGCUAACUUCGUGCCAGCAGCCGCAGUAA
rnacentral:rRNA from 1 species